rnacentral:rRNA from 1 species
AUUGAACGCUGGCGGCAUGCUUUACACAUGCAAGUCGAACGGUAACAGGUUAAGCUGACGAGUGGCGAACGGGUGAGUAAUGCAUCGGAACGUGCCCGAUCGUGGGGGAUAACGCAGCGAAAGCUGCGCUAAUACCGCAUACGAUCUGAGGAUGAAAGCGGGGGACCGUAAGGCCUCGCGCGAUCGGAGCGGCCGAUGUCAGAUUAGGUAGUUGGUGGGGUAAAGGCUCACCAAGCCGACGAUCUGUAGCUGGUCUGAGAGGACGACCAGCCACACUGGGACUGAGACACGGCCCAGACUCCGACGGGAGGCAGAAGUGGGGAAUUUUGGACAAUGGGGGAAAGCCUGAUCCAGCAAUGCCGCGUGCAGGAAGAAGGCCUUCGGGUUGUAAACUGCUUUUGUACGGAGCGAAAAGGGUAUCUCUAAUACAGGGGGCUCAUGACGGUACCGUAAGAAUAAGCACCGGCUAACUACGUGCCAGCCGCCGCCGUAA